rnacentral:rRNA from 1 species
CGUACUCUGUGCCUCCGGUCCCGGGUAGUACGGAGGGUGGGAGCGUUUGCCGGCAGCACUGUGCGUAAGGUGCGCCUAGGCUGCCUGUCAAGUCUGUCGUGAAAGCUCAGGGCUCAACUCCGAGUCGGCCAUAGAUACUGCGAGGCUCGAGUCGAGUAGAGGCAGAUGGAAUUCCGGGUGUAGCGGUGGAAUGCGUAGAGAUCCGGAAGAACACCGGUGGCGAAGGCGGUCUGCUGGGGUCGAACUGACGCUGAUGCGCGACAGCGUGGGGAGCAAACAGGAUUAGAUACCCCAGUAGUC